GUUAGUUUCCGGCCACUGUUGCUGGCCUGCCUCCACCGAAGCGCACCAGCAGCGCUUCCGGAACUUUCGUGUUGCCUCCAACUGAUAAACAUGCAUACAGCCUAAAAAAAAAAGUAAGGAAGGAUGUCCUCGAUUUCGGAAACGUCGUCCACUCGUCCUCCGGUGUUUUCGCCGUUCGCUUGCUACAACUGUGUGGCAUUGCUAGUUAGUUCUGUCAAUGAUGUAUCAAUGAUCUCCUACUUCUAUACGAAAUGGUGAGCCUCAACCUGUGCUCUUCGAUGCUUCAAAACAAUUCCAACUAUAUGCUGUGUAAUCUGGUCUUUAAUUGAUCUUUGUUUCUGGGCAAAAAUUUUAUUACUUCAGAACUUUGAAUUGUUGCCUUCUUAGGAUCGAGGUUUCAAGGUGCUGCUCCGUACCUUCACCUCUAGGUUGUCUACUGAAUGCCCUCGGCACAUACUCUUGGUUCCUCGGAAAAUUUGGUUGUCUUAA